rnacentral:rRNA from 1 species
UGACAGCAGCCGCGGUAAUACGGAGGGGGUUAGCGUUGUUCGGAAUCACUGGGCAUAAAGGGCGCGUAGGCGGCCCGGUAAGUUUCGUGUGAAAGCCCUCGGCUCAACCGAGGAACUGCACGGAAAACUGCCGAGCUAGAGUGCUGGAGGGGUGUGUGGAAUUCCUGGUGGAGCGGUGAAAUGCGUAGAUAUCAGGAGGAACGCCGGCGGCGAAAGCGACACACUGGACAGCAACUGACGCUGAGGCGCGAAAGCUAGGGGAGCGAACGGGAUUAGAUA